UACGUAGGAGGCAAGCGUUGUCCGGAAUUACUGGGCGUAAAGAGCGUGUAGGCGGUAGAGUAAGUCUGUAGUGAAAGCGCAUGGCUCAACUAUGCGAGGUCUAUGGAAACUGCUCAACUGGAGGAAGGUAGAGGAAGGUGGAAUUCCCGGUGUAGUGGUGAAAUGCGUAGAGAUCGGGAGGAACACCAGUGGCGAAGGCGGCUACCUGGACCAGCAUUGACACUCAAGCACGAAAGCGUGGGGAGCAAACAGG
rnacentral:rRNA from 1 species